GAAGUGCGAUAAGCAAUGCGAAUUGCAGAACCGUGAGUCAUCAGAUUUUUGAACGCAACUGGCGCAGACUGGCUCUCCAGUCCGCAUGCUUGUUUCAGUGUCUCUUUCUCUCCUCACCCAAAUCUUAAUGCGAGAGAUACCCUUCUCUUGUUAAGUACGAAAGCACUCUGAGCUCUGCAGGUGGCUUCGGUCACACUCAAUGCAGCAGUCACAUUGCUCACAAUGUGAACUCAUUGAGAGUAGAGUCAGCACAGCUUGUCUGUAAGUGCUUAGACCCUUAAACUAUUCUUGUAUCUGAAAUCAAGCAGGAUCACCCGCUGAACUUAA
rnacentral:misc_RNA from 1 species